CUGACAAAAUUUCAAAGUUAAAGUUUAUAAAGGUUUAGAUUAUACUUCUUAUAAGACAUUGCAAUCGUUAUUUCUAUUUGUACUAACAUACACAUUAUAGCACCCCAUUUCGGUUUUAUAAAGUGCCCUAUUAAACAUAUGUACGCACCUCAUUUCAUUUAUGUGAGAGCAAACAUCAAAAUUAAAGAUGGGAUGUUAUAGUUAAAAAUUAUAUAUUCUCACACAUAAUUUUAAAGUUUGGGAGACUCAGUCAGCAGACUUACAACGGCCAUCUUGUGCAUUGAACUUCGUCGAGUUUUACGGUGAAAUUUGUAUUCGUUUAUUGGAGAUAUACUUCGCAGUUGCACGAAAGGAGAUGGAGCGUUUUUCCGAUGAUUGAACGGGAGAAGCUUCAUCCAGAAGGAAAUAGCCACCGGGCGAAAAUGGUACCUUCCCCGGGAACCAGAAGGAGGAAACUUCGGAUAAGCUCGUGCUGGCAGGUGGAGGAGCACCGAUUGCAGUGGCCGCAGCCCUCGCGAAGGCAACAGAUGGUACAUUAAAUGAGAAUCCGUCGCAAUCCGAUGAGGAACCAGGAACCGGAGGAGCCGUACCAGUUGGUGAAGGAGCGUUACUGCAGCUAUUUCGUGUGAGGGCCAGAGCAUCAUGCUUUUUUAUGCAUAAAUAGACGAGAAUGUUUAAAAAUGUAUAAUUUGAUGACAUUUCAAUAAAACCAAACGAAAUAAAAACACGUGAAUGAA